GUGAGGCGUAGGGACCCUGGAAACACCACACUGCUGUUACACAUUGCUCACAGUGUUGCUUUGCACCUUGCCUGCUGAAGAUGCACAGAGGAAAAGGCGGUGGCUUUGGUCCUGCUAAGAGCUGAACACCCUCAAGGUGUCCUGACACCCAAAGGACCUGGGAGCUGAUUGGGACCUCACAGUGAGGCUCAGCAACUUGUGGGGUCCUGGCCUACUGCUACACACUGAACGUACAAGGAAAGGGGCAGCAGCUCCUGGGAAAUGAGGUUGUGUUGCUGGCUACCGUCUCCAUGAAGCUUCUGCUCUGUGUCAACAGCCUGGUUUGACUGCAACACCUACAGGUUUUCCUUAGGAUACUUGAAGGGAAAGACAGAGAUGAAACAGAGACUUGGCCUUCCAUACCCCACGGGACAGCACGUUCCUCCUCAGAAAGGGGUUGUCAUUGUGGCUUAGUGGUUCAUGGGGUGCUACAUCAGCGGAAGCGGAAGGAGGCACCCCUUGCCUUUUAGCAUCUUUGCAGGUACCGUGUGUUGAACAGGGACCCCCUCCAACUGGACCUCAGCCUAUGCAAGGGAUGCGCCUCUCUGGGAUUUGGAUUGGGUUCCACAGUGCUAAAUUCAGACUUUGCUCUGCUUUCCCGCACUUGAUUUCAUAGCCCUGCAGACAUGAUUCUCCAAAGUGCAAGAAAGGACACAUCCCCUCAUUCAGAUGUCUUUACUGCAGAGCUCACGGAUGCCUCUCCCAGCCUGGAUGAGCAUUUACCAGGGGAAGCAGGUGAGGGAGCUGAAAAAUUGCAGCUGUUUCUUCUCGCUCUUGUAAGCAACCCCAGUGCUAAUUGGCAUCCCUGUCUUUGCUGGUGAGUGAUGCAAUGUGCACCCCAAGAACAGAAGCAUCUGCUUCCGUUCCAGGCAACAAGGUCUUCUGCACAGGAGAACAUGGUAAUAAUUUAUGUGCAUAUAAAUGAAAUGAUACACUUCAAAAUCUACCAAAAUAAGUGGAGUUUUCUUUUUUUCUUCUUAAAAAAAACCCAAAACAUUGUAGAUCAAAGCUUAAUUAAUUUGUGAAAUCCUGUGGCUUGCAUGUGUAGACACAUUUCGAUGAUCAUAUUAUUCCCUUCUGGCCAUAUAAUCUAUGAGUGAGGUUUUCUGCAACGUGCUCCCCUUUCUUGAUUAUGCAGCUCUUUCAGAAAAGCCCUAUUAUUUUUUUUUCCAUAUAAAUAGGACCGGAGGAAGAUGGCUUUUGAUUUAUACACAAAUCAAUACUCCCUUCUGAUUGAACUCAGUGCUAUGCUGCUGUAAUUAUAUUCAUGGGUUUUGUGUAGGUGUAAGACAGGAAGCAAUUAUCAGCUGCAGCCAUGAACGAUUAUAAAAGACAUUUCACUUUUCUUUGGAACCAUAACAUUAACAACAUUCUCUGUCUAACGUAAGCCCUUUUUCUCGUGACUUCUGCUAACUGCACUGUUGUUCAGCUGAGGAAAAAGUCAUGGCAGAUAGCUGUGAUUAAAUAACAUCUGCAUGAGUUUAGGGUGCUGCAGUGUUUGGAGCUUUGCCUUACUGAAAAUCCCAAUGCUUUUAAUUUGUAUCAAAACAGGUGAUUGGUUCAAGCAUCUUUUUCUAUUUAGCUGAAAGUUAAUCAUGGUUGUAAUUCAUUCCUUAGUGAUUCUCUGCAGUGGCAGGUGUCGCAGGAGCAUGUCAUCAAGGCAGUUUAACUGGGAAAAGACAUGG